GUCCACGGCCAUGCUAACCUGAACAGGCAGGAUCCUGUCUGAUCCUGGAAGUUAAGUAGGAUUGGGCCUGGCUAGCACUUGGAUGGGAGACCACCUAGGAAGACCAGGUGCUAUAGGCA
ensembl:rRNA 5S_rRNA 5S ribosomal RNA